GCUUUUUAGGGCCGAAUCUGUGGCAUAUGGAGGUUCCCAGGCUAGGGGUCCGACGGGAGCUAUUGCCACCAGCCUACACCACAACCACAGCAACACAGGAUCUGAGCUGCUUCUGUGACCUAUACCACAGCACCGCUGAAUCCUUAACUCACUGAGCCAGGCCAGGGAGCAAACCUGCAUCCUCAUGGAUCUUAGUCGGGUUCAAUAAACACUGAGCCACGACAGGAACUCCCUUCAAUUAUUGCUCUUAAUUCAUUGUUUUCAUCACACCCUAUUUUUUGUAUCUACCUUGCACUUUAAAUUGUCUGUGAAAUUUUUUAACGUGGUUGUCUAAAAGUGUUUGGUGAUGAACUUAGAUUUUUUUUUUUUGGCAACUUUCCUCCAUGGCCAUUUGCCUCAAAGACCUUUCACUCAAGCCAAAGUGUUGUUUGUUUGUUUCCUAAAUUCUGGCAAUACAAAAGCUCUCACAAGUGCCAACUUAACUUUAACAAUGGCAAAAAAAAAAAAAAAAAAAAAGGCUUCUUUACUGGCUUCAGUUACUUUCACUUUUAUUGGUCAGAAAUGAUAGAAGUAAGUGUAUGGGGUUGAUGUCACAUGGCAAAAAUGCAGGUUAAGUUACUCUUCCAUGAGAGAGCUAUAAAGGAAGCAUGAAACAUGUCUAUGCCAAUGUUUAAAUUACUUUCAGGAGUUUCACUGGCACUCCUACUUCAUAAUCCAACUUCUUGGGUAUCUUGUCUAAUUUCUUUCGAUUUUUGAGAAAAUGCACAUGUUUGUAUCACAUAGGUCUUAACCAUUAUGGAAUAUCUUGAUUUAUUUGUGGGAAAAAUCUUUUCAAAUUCUUAGUAACAAUAUGCCAUCGACUCUACUGUCUCCGUCACCAUCAUCUUCUCUCUGUCUUGUAUCAGAAGGUGGCUUUUAAGCCAAAACGUUACUUUUUUUAUCUACAGAUGGUUUGAUAUGCUUUGCCGCAUGGAGAACCUGGCUGCCUUUUGGCUGGUACACUUUUCCAGCUAAAAAUGAGAAAUCGAAGACAGAAAGCUGAGUAGAAACACAGGAUGGGGAAUUCACAUACACUUUUACAGAAUUUUUUUUUUCCUCUAAGAGAUCUGAAUAGUCAGCAUGCUAGUAGCUUUCUGAUUUGAAUAAAAAUAGACAUCACUAUUUUAAUUUCACACACACACACAUACCCCUAUGGAAUUUAAUUUACCAAGAAGGGAGGGAAAGAAGAAAGAAAGGAAGAAAAAAAAAAAAAAAAAGAAAAAAAGAGUCAGUUUUUGUGUGGGAGGUUAAGUUCAAGUGCUAAGCAAAGGUCAUAGAUAAUUCAAAUUCACUUUGAAGAUCCCUUAACUUUCCCAUAAGCCACUGCGAACAUGGUUUUGAGUAGACAGCUCUUGACAGCAACUUUCACGUACACAGAAGUCUAGCACCUACUGAGUUAUUAGCCCAUCGGAAGAACUCAUUGGAGGGUCACACAGUAAUGUCUGAACAUUCAAAUCAUUCCUCUCUUAAUAUAAGUAUCACAUCCCUUGAGUGAAAUGGAAGACUUAGCUGAAGAAGGUUAAAGGGCUAGGGCUUUCCAGCAGGUUUUACUUCAUUCUGCUGGAGUAGGAAGCUUCUUGAACUUGAAUGCCUAUUAAGAAAUUUAUUGUUGCUAUAGUUGAAAAACAUUGUGGCUUCACACCUUGAGUCCUUCAUGUCAUGGUCUGAAGAAUAACUUUAAAAGUCAUGCCUUUAAGGAUUUCGUCUGGUUGUUAUUUUUAAAAAAAUUAAACACAUAACCAAAUACAUGCCAAACAUUUUCCAAAGCUCUUCAUGCCUCUUUUUUGUUCACCCCCUUGGCUCUCCACUGUUGUGGAGUAGUUUACCCUGGUCUCGCCCAUGCAGUCCAGAUAAUGAAAUUCUAAAAGAAUGUGCAGAACUUAAGUAAGUUCGGGAUGAUGCAGUCGGGGCUCCUGGCUCUGUACCCCGGCUCUCCAGAGAGAGCAGCCCCAGAACUGGCCUGUGAGCAGGGGCAGGGGACUGAGCUGCAGGCAGCCUUGGGAUCAGGCUACUGCUUUAAAGAGCCCCAGUUGGAUCAUGAAUUAAGAAUGCCAGUGAAAAUGCCCCUUUCUUUCUUUUCAUUCCCUAAUCCACAACGUCCUGAGUGCCACAAUGAAUUCUCAUCUAUUGUACUUUUCAGAUUGAUUAAUUGAUUGUGCUUUCUUAAGGCCGCAUCUGCAGCAUAUGGAGGUUCCCAGGCUCGGGGUUGCACAGGAGCUCUAGCUCCCGGCCUACACCACAGCCACAGCAACACCAGAUCUGAGCCGCAUCUUUGACCGACACCAAAGCUCGUGGCAACGCCGGAUCCUUAACUCACUGAGCGAGGCCAGGGAUCGAACCUGCAUCCUUAUGGAUACUAGUUGGCUUUGGUGCCACUGAGACACAGCAGGACCUCCUUCAGCUUCUUUUCUAUUCCUCUGGGAGGACUAACACGGGAAGGUAAAAAUAUCACAACGUGUAGUACAUUCAUCUGAUCCUUCAAGGGAAGAAGGGCCCAGGGCAGCCCAGGGUAAGGGUCAGGUGUCACCCAAGGGAGAGUGAGGGACAUCAGGCAUGGAAACCCGGUACCUGUCCUCCAGUGCCUUAAAACUUAACGUGAAACUAAUGACACUGAUGAGUGUUCUUCACGCUUAUACAUAAAGAAGCCCGCUGGCCAUUUCAUUCUUAAACAGCCAGAGAAACGGGCAAGUAUUACAUGAAUGUGGGACACGGAAUGUGUGAAAGGGCUCUUUUUGUUUUUUAUGAAUGAACCAGCAUGUGCCUAAGGAAAGAGUCGAUUAUUUUAGAAAACACAAAUGUCCAUCAUUCAUUACUCCCUGAGGAAUGGUUUGAGAUAUGACAUCAGGAGAGGCGAGCAUCUAGAGAUCACGUCAUCCACAACCUGAAAGAUUAAAUUAGAGGUGGAGCGAAGAGAAAAUUCUGCUCCGGAAAAGGUUGGGGGUGGGGCGAGGAGUAGAACUGGGGAGCUAUCUAACGAAUUCCAAAGGAAGCGGGGGGCGCGACACCGAUGACUGUUAUAACUCCUCCUUGACUGGACUGGGCUCCAAGCAGACACCUGGGGGUCCUCUGAGAGGAAACGCGGUCCCUUUGAAAGUCUGCAUCUCUGUGCAUCUCAGCUGUACAUCUUGGAAAUAAAGGUGCCGCAGAGGACCACAGAACCUGUCAAUCAACAGUGCACUGGGGUAAGCCCUGCAGUCCGGCUUACACGGCCUCCGCUGGCAUUCUCCCUUACGAAUCAAGGGGGACACCACAGGGGACACGAGAGACCAGCUGCCUCUCCAGCGCUGCCACUGCCAACAGCAUUUAGAGGAAAGGCAAAAAGGUGUCACACGUGUAAACGCACUUUAAGGAACCCCGCGUAAGAGCCAAUCAGGACAAGCCUGGGGCACCCCAGACUCAUGCAUAUGAACAAGGAUGUGCCGCUGCUGAGCAAGGCUGCGCGGGAUGUGCGGGAACGCUCUGGCUUCAGUACACCCCAGACGCUGCUGCCGCCGCCGCCGCCACCGCCGCCGCACACCUCCGUCUUCCAGCUCCCAUGAGCUCACCCUCGUCUGGCGAAAAGAGCUCAGUGAAUCAAUGGCUGCUGUUGAACUGUUUAUGUAUUUUUCAAGUCCUGAUUAGGCCAUUAGUCACCAAGCAUACUGCACAGUGAACUAGAGUUGCUGCAAUUAUGCAACUUCCCGAGAACAUACCCGGAGCAUUUACAGUGAGACCACGGUGCCAGGGAAAUGUGAAAUGGAGAUUAUGUGUCAGCAAUUUCAAGGACCGUGUGCUUCAAUGCCAGAAGAAAUAUAUGCGUGGCAGAUAAGGAAAAGCGGGGAGGGAAAAAAAGAUCAAUGAUGAAAGCAACCAUGUUUAUCCCCUCUGAACACAGCCAAGAUCUGAAAAUGAGAACUCCCUGUGCAACCAACAACUCCCAGAAAACAGUGCUCCAUAUCAUCUGUCCCCUCUUCUCCGUACUGUCCCCAGGAACCUGGGGUGCAACACAGCCAUCAAAGGCACAGAACUACUGAGUCUCGACCUCAUUCUGUGCAGAGCUAAGUUCCCCUUGAGAGCCCCCCGACACCUGCUCACAUCUGUAUCAGACUCCCCCCCAAAGCAUUUCCCUUCUCCUUUCUGCUCCUAGUUCUCACUUUUCAUUUUCAAAACCAGCAAAAGUUCUGUAAUUCUAUAUUCGAGGAUUUCUCAUCCAAAGCAAUAAAGAACAACUCACAGAAGGAAAAGAAAGGAGCAUGAUAAAGCGGCCCUUAAUUUCUUUUAUCGAGAUGCUGAACGGCGGCCACGAGCCCUGCUUGAGAAAAGCCAGUGACAAGUGUGUGUGCAAAAGGGAUCGGCUACUCGGAACCUUCCGGCGGAGAAAUGGGAAAUGAGGGACCAUGAGAAGUGGGUCAGCUCCUCCACGUUUACUGGACAAGUCAUAACAUGAGCAAGCACCUUCCUCAGAGUGUUUUAUAGUAUUUUUCAUGGCACGUCUGAUACUUUGGGGUCUGUUAAUCCACACUUUCCUACUUCUAUUCAUAUACUUUAUAUGUAUUUAUUUGUUGCGUUAUAUAUUUUAGCUGAACUUGCAAUGACAGUUAUUUUUAAGAGGCUGCCAACACAGGUCAAUAGGGACCUCAGAAACCUGGCUUGCAGUGACUCUGGCAUAAGGCGCCUUGACAGCCAAAACCAACCAGAAAGUUGAUGAGAUCCAGGUUUCCAAAACACUAAAGUAAAGGCAACAUUUGCUUUCUUCCAUCUGGCCUUAAAACAAAACAAAACAAAAAAACAAGAACACAACAACAACAACAACAACACCCCAGGUUAUUUACCAAAAAGAAAUCCUUUUAGAACGUCACCCACCACUUCCUCAUGGAUUCAGGGUGCAGAUCUGGAGGUCCGUUUGUCAGUCUGGCUUCAAGCGAGCUGCAGCUUUCUUCACCUUGGACUGGGACAAGGUGUGGAAGAGAUAUGGUACCCAACGGGCCAACACACCAGUGGCAUCCAACACAGUUGCUUUCUAAAUUAACACCCUGAGUCUCUCCACGGACAGGCUUCCAAAACUAAUUGUGGCCGUGCGGAUAAAGAGGGCAGUUUCUCAGCUUCAGUGCCUUUCGGGUUAUUU
rnacentral:lncRNA from 1 species